rnacentral:rRNA from 1 species
AUACGGAGGGGGUUAGCGUUGUUCGGAAUUACUGGGCGUAAAGCGCACGUAGGCGGACUGGAAAGUUGGGGGUGAAAUCCCGGGGCUCAACCCCGGAACUGCCUCCAAAACUUCCAAUCUAGAGAUCGAGAGAGGUGAGUGGAAUUCCAAGUGUAGAGGUGAAAUUCGUAGAUAUUUGGAGGAACACCAGUGGCGAAGGCGGCUCACUGGCUCGAUACUGACGCUGAGGUGCGAAAGCGUGGGGAGCAAACAGGAUUAGAAACCCCUGUAGUCC